GAUGAACGCUGACAGAAUGCUUAACACAUGCAAGUCGAUUCGAUUUACCUUCGGGUAUUGAGGAUGGCGGACGGGUGAGUAACGCGUAAGGAACUUGCCUCUUGGUCUGGGACAACUGUUGGAAACGACAGCUAAUACCGGAUAUUAUGAGAUUCUCGCAUGGGAAACUUAUGAAAGCUAUAUGCGCCAAGAGAGAGCCUUGCGUUCCAUUAGCUAGUUGGUGGGGUAACGGCCCACCAAGGCGACGAUGGAUAGCCGGCCUGAGAGGGUGAACGGCCACAAGGGGACUGAGACACGGCCCUUACUCCUACGGGAGGCAGCAGUGGGGAAUAUUGGACAAUGGGCCACAAGCCUGAUCCAGCAAUUCUGUGUGCACGAUGAAGGUCUUCGGAUUGUAAAGUGCUUUCAGUUGGGAAGAAGAAAGUGACGGUACCAACAGAAGAAGCGACGGCUAAAUACGUGCCAGCAGCCGCGGUAAUACGUAUGUCGCAAGCGUUAUCCGGAUUUAUUGGGCGUAAAGCGCGUCUAGGCGGAAAAAUAAGUCUGAUGUUAAAAUGCGGGGCUCAACUCCGUAUUGCGUUGGAAACUGUUUUUCUAGAGUACUGGAGAGGUGGGCGGAACUACNAGUGUAGAGGUGAA
rnacentral:rRNA from 1 species